UGGCAGUCAGAGGCGAUGAAGGACGUGCUAAUCUGCGAUAAGCGUCGGUAAGGUGAUAUGAACCGUUAUAACCGGCGAUUUCCGAAUGGGGAAACCCAGUGUGAUUCGUCACACUAUCAUUAACUGAAUCCAUAGGUUAAUGAGGCGAACCGGGGGAACUGAAACAUCUAAGUACCCCGAGGAAAAGAAAUCAACCGAGAUUCCCCCAGUAGCGGCGAGCGAACGGGGAGCAGCCCAGAGCCUGAAUCAGUGUGUGUGUUAGUGGAAGCGUCUGGAAAGGCGUGCGAUACAGGGUGACAGCCCCGUACACAAAAAUGCACAUACUGUGAGCUCGAUGAGUAGGGCGGGACACGUGGUAUCCUGUCUGAAUAUGGGGGGACCAUCCUCCAAGGCUAAAUACUCCUGACUGACCGAUAGUGAACCAGUACCGUGAGGGAAAGGCGAAAAGAACCCCGGCGAGGGGAGUGAAAAAGAACCUGAAACCGUGUACGUACAAGCAGUGGGAGCACGCUUAGGCGUGUGACUGCGUACCUUUUGUAUAAUGGGUCAGCGACUUAUAUUCUGUAGCAAGGUUAACCGAAUAGGGGAGCCGAAGGGAAACCGAGUCUUAACUGGGCGUUAAGUUGCAGGGUAUAGACCCGAAACCCGGUGAUCUAGCCAUGGGCAGGUUGAAGGUUGGGUAACACUAACUGGAGGACCGAACCGACUAAUGUUGAAAAAUUAGCGGAUGACUUGUGGCUGGGGGUGAAAGGCCAAUCAAACCGGGAGAUAGCUGGUUCUCCCCGAAAGCUAUUUAGGUAGCGCCUCGUGAAUUCAUCUCCGGGGGUAGAGCACUGUUUCGGCAAGGGGGUCAUCCCGACUUACCAACCCGAUGCAAACUGCGAAUACCGGAGAAUGUUAUCACGGGAGACACACGGCGGGUGCUAACGUCCGUCGUGAAGAGGGAAACAACCCAGACCGCCAGCUAAGGUCCCAAAGUCAUGGUUAAGUGGGAAACGAUGUGGGAAGGCCCAGACAGCCAGGAUGUUGGCUUAGAAGCAGCCAUCAUUUAAAGAAAGCGUAAUAGCUCACUGGUCGAGUCGGCCUGCGCGGAAGAUGUAACGGGGCUAAACCAUGCACCGAAGCUGCGGCAGCGACGCUUAUGCGUUGUUGGGUAGGGGAGCGUUCUGUAAGCCUGUGAAGGUGUGCUGUGAGGUAUGCUGGAGGUAUCAGAAGUGCGAAUGCUGACAUAAGUAACGAUAAAGCGGGUGAAAAGCCCGCUCGCCGGAAGACCAAGGGUUCCUGUCCAACGUUAAUCGGGGCAGGGUGAGUCGACCCCUAAGGCGAGGCCGAAAGGCGUAGUCGAUGGGAAACAGGUUAAUAUUCCUGUACUUGGUGUUACUGCGAAGGGGGGACGGAGAAGGCUAUGUUGGCCGGGCGACGGUUGUCCCGGUUUAAGCGUGUAGGCUGGUUUUCCAGGCAAAUCCGGAAAAUCAAGGCCGAGGCGUGAUGACGAGGCACUACGGUGCUGAAGCAACAAAUGCCCUGCUUCCAGGAAAAGCCUCUAAGCAUCAGGUA
rnacentral:rRNA from 1 species